ensembl:misc_RNA Metazoa_SRP Metazoan signal recognition particle RNA
GCCAGGAGUGGUGGCACGCACCUGUAGUCCCUACUACUUGGGAAGCUGAGGUGGGAAGAUUGCUUGAGCCCAGGAGUUCUGGGUUAUGAUGACUGAGUGUCUGCACUAAGCUUGGCAUCAAUAUGGUGACCUCUUGGGAGUGGGGGACCACCAGGUUACCUAAGAAGAGGUGAACCAGCUCAGGUCGGAAACUAAGCAGGUCAAAACUCAUGGGCUGAUCAGUAGUAAGAUCACCCCUGUGAAAAGCCACUGUAAUCCAGCCUGAGCAACACAGCGAGACCCU